GAAGGUAGAAGAUGUACUGCUUUUUUUUCCAACAUCGUUGUGGUUUUAUAAGAAACAUUCAUGACAUGAUGGCAAACAAAUUUUACCAAUUUCCUUCAAAUGAAAGGUCUUUCUCUCUCAAAGAUAAAAUGGGAUUCAUUACACUCAAAAAGAAUGGGAAAGCUCUUGAUCUAUUUGCAGAUGAGGUCACAACAGACCGUAUGCAA